CUGCUCUGAGAGCAUGGAUCAGCAGCUAUUGCCAAACACUUUCUUGGCUGCUAAUAGCACUUUUUCCUCUUCUUUGUGUGGCUGAUAGUAGCUAUUUAAAACAGCAACAGCGAAUCAGUCGAGUCUUCCUUACUGCAAGAUGCCUUCUUCUGCUCAAGUGAGUCAGGCACAAAAUCCGAAUCAUGCGCUCUCCUUGUUUUUGUUGAUACAGAAUGGAAAGAAUAGUAGAUCAUCUUCAAGAUAGAAUACAAUUGGUCCGCUGUCUGCUGGAAAGGUUAUGACUGUGGAUGCAAAUGAUUUUCUCGCUAACCAGAACACGGGCCGAGGGUCACGGGAGGUCACUGCCUCUCGCUGUGUCCCGGUAGCAGACACAGACGGUUAACGACCGGGCCGUGCAUCAAAGAGCCAGGCGGCCGGAGAUGGAGAGAAAACACCCUCGGCUCUCGUCUCUGCACUCACGCCGUCUCUGCACUCACUCCCUCUCUGCACUCACUCCCUCUCUGCACUUGUGUGAGAGAUGAUGAAAUCACCAUAUGGAAAAAUCCAAUGUGAUCUAAGCAAGAGGCAGAAAGGUCACAGGGAGUCAGGAAAACGGAUGAAAGCUAAUGAUUAUCUCAACCUUUAUCUAAUCAAUAAUCAUUUAAUCCCACAAUAUUAUGGACACUCUAUCCCAUUUUCCAUUAACCCAGGCAGGAUGACAGAGGCUGUAUUGUUUCCUAAGGCAGCUUUAUGGCAGGGGGAUGGCUGGUGUGUCUGAGAGGCAGUUUAAGGUGUGCUCUCAACUGCUCUCAACCUAUUAAGACACUCGUACGUAGUCUGAACAUAGAAGAUAAUGCAUUUUUUUGAAAUAUUGAGUGUUUGAAACAGUGCGAUCGGAAUGGUAUAGAAUAACAAUCUAGCAAUUUCUAAAUGGCCUACAGUUUUACCUCCAUCAAACAGUAAAUGUGGGUUCAAUGAAAUACCAUCACAUUACACAAAUAGUGGAUAUUUGCAAAAUAAUACGUUAAAUCAUUUGUUAAAACUGAAAACUCCAUUAUGUUCUUUGGCUUCUUAUGAUCACCAAAACACAUAUAUUUCUCUAUCAGUCUGUGUCUCUAAGGAGUUUGUGUUUGAUGCCGUUAUGCUGCAGUAAUUUGUACCGUUAUGGCCCAUUUGGAGUGACACCAUCCUCUGUGACUGGGAGUGUGUCUCCAGUGUCUGUCUGCCCAGUGAUGCCAUCUUCAUCCUAACCUUAUUGCUUUUAAUGACUCCCUCUUUCCUUUCAUUAAUUCUUUAUCGAUUCCUUCUGACGUCUGGUGAAUUAAUUUUCAAUUACUGCAAAUAAAAAAAAUAAAAAACC